GGGCUGCCUGCACCCAUCCAUCUGGAUUCCACCUCUGACUGUACCACUUACUGUGCAGCCAUAGCAUUUUUCAGAUGAAGAACUGGAAAUUCAGAAGCCCCUCCCCUAAGACAGGGGCCACCACCAGCUCCUGCAAAACUGCCAGGUGGAUAGUGAGGAAGAGGAGGAGAUAUCAGAGCUCGCUCUCUCCCUAUAUACACGUGAAAAGAGGAAAGGCCGUGUGAGGACACAGCAAGAAGGCAGCCAUCCACAAGCCAGCAAGAGAGGCCUCACAAGACACCAACCCUGGCUGGAAUGCAAUGCCAUGAUCUCAGCUCACUGCAGCCACCACCUCCCAGGCUCAAGUGAUUCUCCUGCCUCAGCCUUUGGAGUAGCUGGGAUUACAGGUAGUGGACAUCUGAAACCCUAAAAUAUCUCAUCUGUGC